AGUUGGACCAGCCGGAGCUGGCUGGAGAAGUAAAAGGAGGCGAAAUUCUGAACGGAAAGAUGUUUCUUUUAUUAUAAAGUGUAGCGGAGAAAAGGACCCCGAAAUAACCACCAGUGAUAGAAAUUAGUAUCAGUUGAGCCCUCUCACACUUCACUCUAGCCUCAGUUCUAGCGGAGUAGGCUAGACAGGUAUUAUUGCUAUUUUACAGAUGAGGAAGUUGAGAUUUGGCCACUAAAAAGCUGUAGAGGCAGAGUUUCAGCAGAUUCAUUGGAGAAACACUGGAAUGAGCCGGCGUUAGUGGAGCGGAGGGGAGAGAAGAAAGUUGAGAUGGUGAGCUGGGGUAUUUUUACGGGCUGACGGUAAAACCUCGGAGGACCUGAAAAAUUGACAAGAAUUGAUAGUAUUAGCAAUUUGUAAUGGCGUUAUACCUGCCGCUGGCUGAAACAAAAUUUGUGGUUUAUUUCUUACAGUCUCUCCAGUUAUUUUAAGGCGAUAAGCUUAUUUUUUAUAGGCGUAGAGGAACUUUAGUGUGUUCGUGCUGCCAGUCACUCGGCUCUUUGGGAGAGGCAGAAUCAAGUAGUACAGAUCUUCCUCCACUUACCGUAGGGUUAUGUCCAGAUAAAGCCAUGAAAGUGGAAAAUACCUGCACCUAACCUGGGAACAUCAUGGCUUAGCCCAACCUACCUUAAACUUGCUCAGAACACUUACAUUAGCCAACAGUUGGGCAAAGUCAUCUAACACAAAGCCUAUUUUUAUUAUAAAGUGUUGACCAUCUUGUGUAAUUUACUGAAUAUUGUACUGAAAGUGAAGAGCAGAAUAGUUGUAUGGGUACAGAAUGGUUGUAAGUGUACCGGUUGUUCACCAGGUGGCUAACUGGGAGCUGUGGUUGCUACCACUGUACAGCAUGAAGAGAGAGUAUCGUACUGCAUGUACAUAGCCCCGGGAAAAGAUCAAAAUUCAGAAUUCGAAGUACGUUUUCUACUGAAUGUAUAUCGCUUUCAAGCCAUUGAAAAGUUGAAAGGGGAACUGUUAUACGUGCAGGACCCUCUGUAGUUAAAAGCAGGAACUAACUUCAAACUACCCAGGCUCAAAUUCUGACUCUGCCCUUUACUUGUUCUGUGACCUUGGCCAAUGUAGCCUAUAUGCUUCACUUUACUCAUCUGCAAAAUAGCAAUGAUAAAUCUAUUAUGAGAGUUAAAAAUGAGUUAGUACAUGUAAAAUGCUUAGAACAAUGCCUGGCUUGGAGUCAGGCACUAGUUCAGUGUUCACAUAUUAUUUUGUUUCAUUUGCUUCAGAGUGAUAGGCAAUGUAACUCCCACGCAGGCCGCAUCUCGCUUCAAUUUCACAUGCUAAAUACUAUCAAUAUUUGAGAAUGUGGAGACUAUUUUAAUCGGGCUAGUUGCAGGAAAAGGUCACUUUGUAGAGGUGCCAUUUGACUUAAGUAAAUCCUUCAUGAUGAGAAGGAUCAGCCAGAAUAUCAUCUGCAGGAGAGGAAAAGUCUUUCAUGCAGAAGGAGCCACGUGAGCCAAGACUGAGGUUGGAUGAGCCUGACAUGGUCCGGAGACAGGAGUCGUGAAGAAGGAGGGAAGUGGACAGACCCUAUAUCCACAUGCUCAAGACAGCCGAUUGAUUUUCAAAAGGACAAGGGGAUUACAAGCAUUCUGCAGGGAUACACUGGCUCAUUUGAAGCUUUAACCUUCAAGGUUUCAAAGGAAGGAGCCGAGAUGCACGUAAGUAGAAGUCAUCAAGCAGCUGAAGAACUCCGUGGCCAGCACUGCCGGGGCGCUGCAGCCCGGGCGCCUCUCGCUGCACCGGGAGCCUUGGGGCUUCUCCCACGAGCAGGGGGUGUGACCGGCGCCGCGCGGACACUGGCAGGAGGGCAUGGAGCUGUUCGGGCACCGAGCUGGGUCUCGGCAUCGAUUCUCUGGCCGCCCGGGUUCGAGGGCCAGGCUCGGCUGCCUCGCUGGCAGAUGCUUUUUCCUCGGUUUAUGCCGUCUCAAGUUCUGGAGCCGAGCUGCUGCUCUGGGCUGGGGUGUGGAGGACCGCGGAUGCAGUUACAGCCGGGUAACCGGGCUGGAAACACCAGAGAUGGACGUUUUCUGCGACGCAGUGCCACGGGUGUCCAGAGGUUUAAAUCACCCCUGACUCUUCUAGACAGGAGACUAUAGAGAACUCAGGGCACAGCUGUGGAUGCAGGACUGAUGCCAUCUGGUGCAAGUCCACAGAAUAAGAGAGAAAAUUUACCCAGGGUGUGCCAUGCACUGGCUUUUCUGGGAAUGACAAGGUGCCAGGAUUUGUUUUUGGUUCACUUGCAGGGGUGGAAACUUGGAACUAGAUAAAAAUUUUCUUAUUGGGAAUCAAGGUGGAUUGCUAUCUUGAAAUUACUGGACUGAACAGCGGCAUUAACAAAGUAGGGGUUUCGUUUUGUUCUCAUGUAACGAGGAGGUUGAGGGUCGGCUAGUACUGGUGUUGGUUCAGCAGCUCACAGAUGUCAGCGUCAAGGUGGCCCCUGAGGUUCCCAUGGCUUUUCCCGUAGGUUCCAAGAUGGUUGUUACAGUUCCCCUCAAGAAGAUGGAGGAAACCCAAAGGGAAAACAGAGCAUGCCAGUUUGAGUCCACUUCCGUUUAAAGAGCUUUCGGCAGCCCAGCAACUUUUGCUUACAUCUCAUUGGCCAGACUGUGUCAUUGGCUCCUGCUAUGUCUUAAGAUUGGCUGAGAAAGGUAGUUUUUGUAGCUGGACAUACAACUGCCUUCAACAAAAAUCUGAGUUCUCUUGAUAAGGAAGAAGAUAAUGGUGGAUCUUGGGUGAACAACUUGUAGUCUGUGCCCUGGAUACAAAAUACAGUAGUAAAGAAGCAUGAUGCUUGAAACAUAUCAAAACUGUAGCUCCUUCACAACUGGCAACUCCAAGCAACACUGCUGUGCUCUGAGAGAGUGAGUAGAGUGAAGACGUGUUAGGUUUUCUCAUGAAACACUUACCAGGACUGCCCUUCGCUCUCAGCCCUUGCCCCUAUCAGGCUUUUCUAGAGGAAGAUGCUGGGAAGCUGCACACUGUCUUGGAGGACAUAAUCUCUUCAUGGAGGUUUGAAAUGGGAUGAGGAAUGUUCUCCCUUGCUACUUCCACAUCUGCUUCAUUUAUCUCUUCUCUGAUUUUCCUGACAACUUUUUGGUGGAAUCUAGUUGUGUAUUUGAUCCCCAUAAAAGGAUCAUUUCUUUCAUGCACAGGGGAGGGUAAUCUAUGUGAAGAAAGGCUACUUUACUCCCUUCUGUGACUCCACCACCAAUCUAGGAAUAUCCUGGAAGAAUUGCUUCUCAGAGCUGCUUCCAUAAGCAGCCUACAUCCUGGCUAAGCAAAGGGAGAAGAAACACUUCCCACAUCCAGGGCUGUCCAAAAGAACUUUCUGUGAUGACAGAAAUGUUCUAUAUUUGAACUGUCUUAUAUGGUAGCCACUAGCCACAUGUGGUUGGCAAACACUUGAAAUGUGGCUACUGUGAUUGAGGAGGUAAAUUUUAAUUUUAUUUACUUUUAAAUAAUUUAAAUGUAAAUAGCCACAUGUGGCCAGUGUCUAUUGUGCUGUAGAGCAUAGUACACACCUUUCUCUUUCCUGCGUUUUAGAACUUGCUGGGUGUGUGUAUGGGGAAGGGGGUGGUUAGAGCCACUACGUAAGUCACAUGCUUGGUGUUCCAUGGUCUUCACUGUUCCACCUUGCCAUUGAACUUGUCUCUCAGAGGCAAAGGAAACAUGGUAUUUUGGAACUAAAUUCAAGAUGUUAACUUGACAUUUACACAUUGAACGUAUGUAUAAGUGGAAUGGUCUCCUGGGAACAGAUCCUGUGAUUGAUUUUAGUAAUAAAUGAUGAUGGGAAAGGGGUAGCGCUGGUCAUUUAACAUUCCUAGUGAACAUUAUGUGUUCCUAGUCAAAGUCAGCAGAGAUUAUUUUAUUCUGUUGUGUAAUUCAUUCUGUGUUACUUUAUUUUUUUAAUAUUGUGGCUGCUAAAUGAUACUUCAUGUCUGUUUUUCAAACUACUUCGUGGUUUAUACUUUUAAAAGGCUGUGAAAUAAAAAAAUAAUUAUAUGUAACUCA